rnacentral:rRNA from 1 species
UACGUAGGGUGCGAGCGUUAAUCGGAAUUACUGGGCGUAAAGCGUGCGCAGGCGGCUUGCCAAGUCAGAUGUGAAAGCCCCGGGCUCAACCCGGGAACUGCGUUUGAAACUGGCAGGCUAGAGUUUGGCAGAGGGGGGUGGAAUUCCACGUGUAGCAGUGAAAUGCGUAGAGAUGUGGAGGAACACCGAUGGCGAAGGCAAUCCCCUGGACCUGUACUGACGCUCAGGCACGAAAGCGUGGGGAGCAAACAGG